UUAACCUUCUUUCAUCACUUCUAACCUUUGAUCAAACUGAAACCGUCUAAAAUGAUGAUCACUUUCUUCAAUACGCAAUUCAAUUCAUACCUUUAAGUAUUCAACCCCUCCGACUUCACUUAAAUCCAACCUAAUCGACACCAGCCUUCAAUUCGGCAUACCAACGGGAAAUCAAGCAAAUUGGACUUCAAUUUAUUUAAUGGAGGAUGCCUUCAAUUCGAUUUUGGUAUUAAAGGAGUAAUCUCAUCACCCCUGGUCUUUUUAAUCCCAUCCCCUGAUUGUUCAUGCCAUAUUUUGAGUUCAACUCCAACAAAACACAGCAAUAAGCGGAAUAUCUGAAGCCACCAGCUAUGAGUCUGUGCUCUCCUUCUAUUUGCCACCGUAUUUGAUUCUUUCAUCUCAACAUCCCAACGCAGGUAACUCUAAUCUCAAUCGUUAGGGUUUUUAUUGAUGAUUUGUUGUUUUUUCUUGCUUUUUAUAAUAGAUCUUGAUUCUGGAAACUGCUGCUUCAUGCUUACUACAAUUAGUAUUGACAGAGCCUUAACAUAAAUUGCUAUCAAAUAAGUGACUGAUGUUAAAUUGUGGCGUAUACCAUACUAUUCUUGGAAUCUAGCUUUUGAUUGGAUGGUUUGAACUUAAUUUGAUUGAUUUCUAAAUGAACAAACGAAGAUAAACCCGGAAAACAUUUUUUGCUGAUGCGAUUUAUAUUUUGGAUGAUAGAUAUUUGCGUGGUUCAGAUCAUUAUUCCAUGUCUUUCUUGAAUGUGGAGUUGCAAAAGAGUAAUAAGCGGCCAUUGCUAAAUUGACAAAGUGGAACGACCGGCAAGCAAGUCCGAGCCAGCACCCUUGAAAGAUGAGAACGACGCUUGGAGGCGGAGGCCUGAAGAUUAGAUGGUGGAUUUCUCACUUAAGCAAGUUAGGCAUGAACUGGUAGAGAGAAGCAACUCGAGGGGGGAUUUAAAUCAGUUCAUAUGUAGCAAGAUCGUGGUGCUGAAGGUGAAUUGUUUCGUUUGGAAAGCCACCACUCGUAAGAUAACUACGGCUAUGUGGCCUUGGCGGCCGUUUGGUGAUGGGUCUUGUCUGAUGUGUGGCAUAGUGAAUGAAAAGGUUGACCACUUUCUCGUUGAGUGCUCAUUCGUGAAGUCGGUGUGGUGGUUGGUCUGUAGAUGGCUGAAGGUGCCUAUACCAAACACAUUCUCAUCAGUGGAUUUAAGUCUCAAGUACCAAAGCUGGAGGAUCCAUUUUCAAGAUUUUGGCUGGUAUAGGUAGAAUGGCUCUCAACUGCCCUUGUGAGGAGGAUCUUGUUAACUCUGCAUCAGCAACUACUGGUAACGUCUUGUUUGGUUGGGUUGUACAACAUAUUUGGAUUAGAUAGAGGAACUUAAUCCUUAAUCUUCCUUUAAGUAGAAAAGCUCAAGUGAAAGGGAAGCGCCCUUGUGUUGAGAAUCUAAGCUCUGCGUCCUUAAACGAGAUUCCAAACUCUGCAUCGGCAACUACUGUGACGUUGUCAGAAAAAGGAAUGGCUCAUAAAGAGAACAUAGUGACCAGCUUUGAGAACAUGAGGAAUCUCAAGUUUAAGCAGCUCGGAGAGCAACUCAAAUCCACUAGCAGUUAAAAGUGCCUACUUGGAUUGGUGAUAAUGAAGAAGAAGAGUUUGUAGGCGUUGGUGCUCGAUUUGGUCCUACUUUGGAAAAGUGAGAAUAUGGAGAGUUCAAAGAUUGAGCAUGCAAAGAGGGUGGAACAAUUGAGGAAAAUGGAGCUUAAGAGGGCUGAUUAUAUGAAGACUGAGAAAGCAAAAAAAGAGGUUGAGAAGUUGGAGUCUAUAAUGAUGGUUUCUUCGCAGGCGAUCGAGUCAACGUCGGAUGAAAUAGUCAAACUCCGAGAGGAAGAGCCGCAACUUGUUGAGCUUGUUAAAGGACUAAAGAAACGUCGGUCCUACAUGAGCUUGGUCUCUGCUUGGCUCACGGCUUUUCUGAUGGGAAGAUCACAGUUCAUACAAACAAGUCAGAUGGUGGGUGGGACACCACACGGAUCACCCAGGCUCAUCCAAUUUGAGUCACAUCGGUUUCAUGGGCUCCGCCAAUGGCUCUUUGGGCUCUGGUUGGAUCUGGUACUUUUGAACCUGUAUAAAAGCAGGCUUCUGGUGGGUGUGAUAACACAGUUAAACUUUGGGGUAUA